GACGAACGCUGGCGGCGUGCUUAACACAUGCAAGUCGAACGGAAAGGCCCCUUCGGGGGUACUCGAGUGGCGAACGGGUGAGUAACACGUGAGUAACCUGCCCUUGACUUCGUGAUAACUUCAGGAAACUGGGGCUAAUACCGGCUAGGAAUCCUUGCUGCAUGGUGGGGGUUGGAAAGCUUCGGCGGUUUUGGAUGGACUCGCGGCUUAUCAGCUUGUUGGUGGGGUAGUGGCUUACCAAGGCUUUGACGGGUAGCCGGCCUGAGAGGGCGACCGGCCACAUUGGGACUGAGAUACGGCCCAGACUCCUACGGGAGGCAGCAGUGGGGAAUAGUGCACAAUGGGCGGAAGCCUGAUGCAGCAACGCCGCGUGCGGGAUGAAGGCCUUCGGGUUGUAAACCGCUUUCAGCAGGGGCGAAGCUUGUGGUGACGGUACCUGCAGAAGAAGCACCGGCUAACUACGUG
rnacentral:rRNA from 1 species